rnacentral:rRNA from 1 species
UACGUAGGGCGCAAGCGUUGUCCGGAAUUAUUGGGCGUAAAGAGCUCGUAGGCGGUUUGUCGCGUCUGCUGUGAAAACCUAAGGCUCAACCUUGGGCUUGCAGUGGGUACGGGCAGACUAGAGUGCGGGUAGGGGGUGACUGGAAUUCCUGGUGUAGCGGUGGAAUGCGCAGAUAUCAGGAGGAACACCGAUGGCGAAGGCAGGUCACUGGGCCGCAACUGACGCUGGAGGAGCGAAAGCAUGGGGAGCGAACAGG